GACUUGACAUCUCCUGAAUUACUCUUAAUCGAGGAAGUCCCUUCGGGGACAGGAAGACAGGUGGUGCAUGGUUGUCGUCAGCUCGUGUCGUGAGAUGUUGGGUUAAGUCCCGCAACGAGCGCAACCCUUAUUGUUAGUUGCUACUAUUAAGUUAAGCACUCUAACGAGACUGCCGCGGUUAACGUGGAGGAAGGUGGGGAUGACGUCAAAUCAUCAUGCCCCUUAUGUCUAGGGCUACACACGUGCUACAAUGGCUGGUACAACGAGCAGCAAACCCGCGAGGGGGAGCAAAACUUGAAAGCCAGUCCCAGUUCGGAUUGUAGGCUGAACCUCGCCUACAUGAAGUUGGAGUUGCUAGUAAUCGCGAAUCAGCAUGUCGCGGUGAAUACGUUCCCGGGUCUUGUACACACCGCCCGUCACACCAUGAGAGCCGGUAACACCCGAAGCCCGUGAGGUAACCGUAAGGAGCCAGCGGUCGAAGGUGGGAUUGGUGAUUGGGGUGAAGU
rnacentral:rRNA from 1 species